GGACUACCCGGGUAUCUAAUCCUGUUUGCUCCCCACGCUCUCGCGCCUCAGCGUCAGUAUCUGUCCAGGUAGCCGCCUUCGCCACGGGUGUUCCUUCCGAUCUCUACGCAUUUCACCGCUACACCGGAAAUUCCACUACCCUCUACAGUACUCCAGUUCAACAGUCUGGAUUGCCAUUCCCAGGUUAAGCCCGGGGAUUUCACAACCCACUUAUUAAACCGCCUACGCGCCCUUUACGCCCAGUAAUUCCGAUUAACGCUCGCACCCUCUGUAUUACCGCGGCUGCUGGCAC
rnacentral:rRNA from 1 species